GAUGAACGCUAGCGACAGGCCUAACACAUGCAAGUCGAGGGGCAGCACAAAGUAGUAAUACUUGGUGGCGACCGGCGCACGGGUGAGUAACACGUAUGCAACCUACCUGUAAGCGGGGAAUAACCCGGAGAAAUUCGGACUAACACCGCAUAAUACUGAAUUACUGCAUGGUUUUUCAGUUAAAUAUUUAUAGCUUACAGAUGGGCAUGCGUAUGAUUAGAUAGUUGGUAGGGUAACGGCCUACCAAGUCAACGAUCAUUAGGGGUUCUGAGAGGAAGGUCCCCCACACUGGUACUGAGACACGGACCAGACUCCUACGGGAGGCAGCAGUGAGGAAUAUUGGUCAAUGGGCGAGAGCCUGAACCAGCCAAGUCGCGUGAAGGAAGAAGGUUCUAUGGAUUGUAAACUUCUUUUGUAAGGGAAUAAAAAAGAGUACGUGUACUCUAUUGUAUGUACUUUACGAAUAAGGAUCGGCUAACUCCGUG
rnacentral:rRNA from 1 species